CGCCUGUUUUACAAAAACAUGUCUUUUUGUAUUUAAUUUAAAGUCUAAUCUGCCCACUGAUUUUUAAUUAAAGGGCUGCAGUAAUUUGACUGUACAAAGGUAGCAUAAUCAUUAGUCUUUUAAUUGAAGACUUGUAUGAAAGAUUUGAUGAGAUAUAAACUGUCUCUUUAUUACAAUUAAAAUUUAAUUUUUUAGUUAAAAAGCUAAAAUAUUUUUAAAAGACGAGAAGACCCUAUAGAGUUUUAUAGUUUUUAUUAUAAAAUAUUUAUAUAAAAUUUUAAUGUUAUAUUAUAAAAAUUAUUUUGUUGGGGAGAUAAAAAAAUUAAAUAAACUUUUUUAAAUAUUUUCAUGAAUAAUUGAGUAAUUGAUCCAUAUUUAUUGAUUAAAAGAAAAAAUUACCUUAGGGAUAACAGCGUAAUAUUUUUUUUUAGUACAAAUAAGAAAAAAAGUUUGCGACCUCGAUGUUGGAUUAAGAUAAAAUUUAAAUGUAAAAGUUUAAAAUUUUGAUCUGUUCGAUCAUUAAAAUCUUACAUGAUCUGA
rnacentral:rRNA from 1 species